rnacentral:rRNA from 1 species
AUGGGGCUGGAUUUGGUCGGGUUCAGCUCUCGGGUGCUGCCAACCAGCGUCGGGUACGCCGCGGACCGGCGCCACUCCCGUGGCGGAGCCGCCGCAUCCCACGGCUUCCUUGCCUGGAGGAGCCAUCCGAGGGCAGCUCUGAAGGACGGCGUGGUUUGCUCUACGGAGGACGGCGGCCGCGCGGAGUCCACGCUGUGCGUGUCCGCUCCGUCUGAAGAUGCCAGCCGCACCGGCGGAGUGGCAGCGGAUCUUGGCCGGGACAUCGCGGACGGCAUCACCGCCAGCCAGGCGAGCUCCGCGGGGAGGAAGAAAGGGGGGAGGUUAUGGAGGAGACCGCCGGGCGGAGACAAGCCGGCGAGGGCUCCCAGGCGCGCCCCCGUGAGAAAGGAUCCACAGGUUCGCAGAGUUCUGGUGAACAAUCCCGAUGUGAAUGCGAUUCUGUCCGGCGUCAGCCGGGAGUCCAGCAUCGAGGAGUGCAACUCCGUCCUGAUCCGUCUGGAGAAGCACAGCGAUGUGAAGGCCCUCGACUUCUUCGUGUGGAUGAAGGCCAACGGGAAGCUCGAGAGGAACGCCGACGCCUACCGGCUGGCUCUCCAGGCCAUUGCCUGGAAGGAGGACUGGAGGAGGGCCGAGCUGUUGCUCCACGAGAUGGUCGCUGUUUCGGGUUGCCGGCUCGAUGCCCGGGCGUUCAACGGGCUGAUGUAUGUCUGUGCCAAGAGGAGGCUUGCUGAUUGGGGAACAAAGUGGUUUCAUGUGAUGCUGGAGAGGGAGGUGCAGCCGAAUGUGUCCACAUUUGGUAUGCUCAUGGGCCUUUACCAGAAGACUGGGAGCCUCAAGGAGUCCGAAUUCGCUUUCGCGAAAAUGAGGGAAUGCAAUGUCAAGUGUGUCAAUGCUUACUCAGCCAUGAUAACUCUGUACACGCGUUCACGCCUUUUCGAUAAGUCCGAGGAGGUUAUCACAUUGAUGAAAGAUGAUGGGGUUGUUCCAAACAUGGAGAACUGGUUAGUGCAGCUAAAUGCUUACAGUCAGCAGGGCAAAAUGGAAGAAGCAGAAUUGGUGUUGCAGUCCAUGGAAGAUGGAGGUGUUUCCCCAAAUGUUGUGGCAUGCAAUACUGUGAUUACAGGGUAUGGAAAGGUUUCUGAAAUGCAAAAGGCGAAGGAAGUGUUCCACAGACUUGAGAGUUCAGGUUUAGCUCCCGAUGAAACAACUUAUAGAUCAAUGAUAGAAGGUUUUGGUAGAGCAGAUAAACACCAAGAGGCAAUUUCGUAUUACAAGAAGCUCAAGAGUUCCGGUUUUCAACCAAACGCGUCCAACUUCUACACGAUGAUUAACUUAAUAGCAAGGCAUGAUGACAGUGAAAGCGCGGCUGAAAUUCUUAGGGACAUGAGGGCAGCAGGCUGCCAGUGUUCAUCUAUUGUUACUAUUCUUGUCCGGGCAUACGGAACAGUCGGGAGGAUGCAUAAGGUUCUACCAAUUCUGCAAUCAUGCUUCUACAAGAAGGUUUUGUAUGAUGCUACCUCAUGCUCUAUUUUAGUAACAACGUUUGUUCAAAAUUCUUUAUUAGAAGAAGCUCUUUGUGUUUUGCGUGAAAAGAAGUGGAAAGAUUCUGAUUUUGAAGACAAUCUGUAUCAUAUCUUGAUAUGUUCUUGCAAAGAGGCUGGCAGUUAUGAAGAUGCUGUAAGGAUAUACAGCCAGAUGCCAGAAUCCCGAACGCAUCCAAAUCUCCGCAUUUGCUGCACUAUGAUUGAUGUUUUCAGCAUCAUGGAGAGAUUUACUGAUGCUGAAACCUUGUACCUUGAGCUGAAGGCUUCAGCUUGUGUUCUUGACAUGAUUGCUUAUAGUGUAAUUGUGAGGAUGUAUAAUAAAGCUGGGAGACCAGAAGAUGCUUGCUCAGUUCUGGAAGAUAUGGAUAAACAAAAGGAAAUAGUUCCUGAUAAAUACCUUUUUCUUGACAUGCUUCGGACUUACCAGAAAUGCGGCCUGCUCGAGAAGUUGACUGAUACAUAUUAUCGGAUACUCAAGAGCGAGGUUGAAUGCGAUGAAGCCAUGUAUAACUGCAUUAUUAACUGCUGUGGCCCAGCGAUACCAGUCGACGAGCUCUCGAGAAUUUUCGACGAAAUGAUUCAACUAGGACACCUGGCCAGCACUGUCACCCUGAAUGUGUUGCUAGAUAUAUAUGGAAAAGCUGGGCUUUUCAACAGGGCUGAGAAGGUGUUUAGCAUGGCCCGGAAGCAAGGACUGGCAGAUACCAUAUCAUACAACACUAUCAUCGCGGCGUACGCGCAGAGCGGGAAUUACCGCAGCAUGAAUUACUUUGUCCAAAAGAUGCAGGACGCAGGGUUUCCGGUUUCUCUCGAGGCGUACAAUUGCAUGCUGAAUGCCUAUGGAAAGUCAGGCCAGCUGGAGGAGUUCUCUGCUGUUCUGCAGAAAAUGAGGAGAGCAAGAUGCGACUUCGACCACUACACUUACAAUAUUAUGAUGAACAUAUAUGGGAGAAAGGGUUGGAUCGAAGGCGUCGCCUACGUUCUUUCGGAACUAAAGAGCCGCGGCGUUGAGCCAGACCUGUACAGUUACAACACAUUGAUAAAGGCUUACGGGAUAGCGGGAAUGCCCGAAGAUGCUGUCAAGCUGAUGCAGGAGAUGAGGAUCAAAGGUAUCAACGCUGAUCGAGUGACGUAUACUAACCUCAUAGCAGCUCUACAGAGGAAUGAGAAUUUCCUAGAGGCGGUCAAGUGGUCCCUCUGGAUGAAGCAAACAGGAGUUGUAGGCGUCGGAGCUCGACCAUAA